UGCAGCUAUCAACAGUGAUUCAUUCUUAUGCAUAUCGGCAAUGGAUAACCUAAUGCAUUGGUCUAGCUUUCUCUCGCCCCACUGGACUUCAUUGGAGUUGCUGACCCUCAAGAACGAAUCCUUCCACCCCACGGUAGGGCUGGGCCAGGAACAAAAAGUAUCCUUCUACAGAUCCAAAGAAAAAUUCUCUGCUCUAAAAGGGAUCGUGUUGGUUUCUGCGUUUAUGAGGUUGGUUGGAUCUGGAUCCCCUAGCGGGCCAAGGCAUCGGACGUGUGGUUGAUCGGUGGGGAUGACAAUUUUGUUAGCCAAUUCCUAGUGGUUUUGGAGAUGGAAAAGAAAAACACAAAGAAAAAAAAGAAAAUGUUCAGUAAGAUGGAUUGCGGAUGAACAGGGGUGCGAGGAAAAGUACAACAAAUGGCGCGAAGGACUGACCUCAGGAACGAUGAAGUUGAUGGCCAUUUUACCACGGAGAAGAUGUUUGAGAGCUUCGGAGGUGAUGAAGAGGGGACUUCGUCGAAGAUCUUGGAGCUUUUGGACAGCGCCGCCGCCGGGAAAGUGAAGUUGGAGUUGUGGAAUGAUGUGAUGGAGAAGCAGUACCCGAGAAGGAACUAUUUAUAGGACAAAACGGGCAAGGGCAAAUCUGACAUAUCUCUUUGCCGCAUCCGUGAAAUCCGAGGAUGCUCAGGUAGAUAUGGUAACUGUUCGCACGGUAAUCAAGGGAUUGUGCAGGUGAUUUGACAGG
rnacentral:lncRNA from 1 species